UACAGAGGGGGCAAGCGUUGUUCGGAAUUACUGGGCGUAAAGGGCGCGUAGGCGGCCUGCUAAGUCGAACGUGAAAUCCCCGGGCUCAACCCGGGAACUGCGUCCGAUACUGGCAGGCUUGAAUCCGGGAGAGGGAUGUGGAAUUCCAGGUGUAGCGGUGAAAUGACGUAGAUAUCUGGAGGAAUACCGGUGGCGAAGGCGGCAUCCUGGACCGACAUUGACGCUGAGGAGCGAAAGCUGAAGGGGAGCAAACGGGG
rnacentral:rRNA from 1 species